ACACGUCUACAUUAGAUACCCCCCGUAGUCCCAGCCGUAAACUAUGCGCGUUAGGUGUAUCGGUGACCACGAGUCACCGAGGUGCCGAAGGGAAACCGUGAAACGUGCCGCCUGGGAAGUACGGUCGCAAGGCUGAAACUUAAAGGAAUUGGCGGGGAGCACCACAACGGGUGGAGCCUGCGGUUUAAUUGGACUCAACGCCGGGAAGCUCACCGGAUAAGACAGCGGAAUGAUUGCCGGGCUGAAGACUCUGCAUGACUAGCUG
rnacentral:rRNA from 1 species